rnacentral:rRNA from 1 species
CCUACGGGUGGCAGCAGUGAGGAAUAUUGGUCAAUGGACGCGAGUCUGAACCAGCCAAGUAGCGUGAAGGAUGACUGCCCUAUGGGUUGUAAACUUCUUUUAUACGGGAAUAAAAUGUGACACGUGUGCCUUUUUGUAUGUACCAUAUGAAUAAGGAUCGGCUAACUCCGUGCCAGCAGCCGCGGUAAUACGGAGGAUCCGAGCGUUAUCCGGAUUUAUUGGGUUUAAAGGGAGCGUAGGUGGGUUGUUAAGUCAGUUGUGAAAGUUUGCGGCUCAACCGUAAAAUUGCAUUUGAUACUGGCAGACUUGAGUACAGUUGAGGUAGGCGGAAUGCGUGGUGUAGCGGUGAAAUGCUUAGAGAUCACGAAGAACUCCGAUUGCGAAGGCAGCUUACUAAACUGCAACUGACAUUGAGGCUCGAAAGUGUGGGUAUCAAACAGGAUUAGAUACCCGAGUAGUC